CCUACGGGCGGCAGCAGUAGGGAAUUUUCGGCAAUGGGGGGAACCCUGACCGAGCAACGCCGCGUGAACGAAGAAGUUACUCGUAAUGUAAAGUUCUUUUAACAGGGAAGCAAGAGAAAUUUGACGGUACCUGAAGAAUAAGCCCCGGCUAACUACGUCCCAGCAGCCGCGGUAAUACGUAGGGGGCGAGCGUUAUCCGGAAUUAUUGGGCGUAAAGGGUGCGUAGAUGGCAUAGUAAGUCUUUUGUAAAAAUGCUGGGCUCAACCCAGUAGGGCAAAAGAUACUGCAAAGCUAGAGUAUGACAGAGGCAAGUGGAACGACAUGUGUAGCGGUAAAAUGCAUAAAUAUAUGUAAGAACACCAGUGGCGAAGGCAGCUUGCUGGGUCGAUACUGACAUUGAGGCACGAAAGCGUGGGGAGCGAACAGGAUUAGAUACCCCUGUAGUC
rnacentral:rRNA from 1 species